ensembl:lncRNA
AAGAAAGAAAGAAAGAAAGAAAGAAAGAAAGAAAAGAGGAAGGGAAAGAAAGAAAGGGAAAGAAUGAAAGAGAAAAAGAGAAAGAAAGAAGGAAAACAAUAAAAAGAAAAGAAAAAAGGGAAAAGGAGAAUAAAAGGAAAUGAGUAAGAGAAAGAGAAAGAGAACAAUAUUUGUGAUUCUAUGAUUUUGUGGAAAAGGGAGAAAAAAGAGAAGGAAGGAAGGGAGGUAGGAAGGAAGGAAGGAAGGAAGGAAGGAAGAAGAAAAGAAAAAAGAAAGAAAGAGAAAUAAGAGAAAAAAGAGAGAAAAAAGAGAAAAAGAAAAAAAAAAGGAAAAUGGAGAUGAAGCAAAGCAAAAAGGAAAGAAAAAAUAGGAUAAAAAAAGGAAACAAACAAAAAGAAUAUUUCAGUCUUUCACUCCCAAAUCCAUUUGUAGGGCAGAGUAACCUAUUUUCCAGUAAAGAUCCCACAAACCACAUUUUGCUAUUAAAAGUCUGUUUCAUCCGCUGGGAUGCAAACACUUUGUGCAGGAAAACACCACAUUCCCCGGGCGAGGAGGGCCGGGUGCUGCGGGUGGGAGCUGUGCUCCAAGUUGUGCUGCGAACCGCGCGGCACCGUCCGGCCACCGUGGGGAUGAAUGGGGCCGGCGCCCCAUCGGGGUGUGAGUUUAGCAAAGUGAGAGCCCCGGCAAAUGCAGAAGGAAGGCCAUGCAGCCCUUACGACAGAAGUGUUUUCUUUCCACAGCUGGUGGGACCUCUGUGCGUAGGACUGGAGAGCCCCAAAGAGAAUCCAGUUUUCCAUCUGAUCUUGGAGACGAGGAGAUGAGGGUGCCGAGGGAAGAACGUGCUCUUCCAACACCUCUGGGAGGAAGGGAUGCUCCACACAAAAGCAGAAGUUUCUUUCAGAGUUCAGUUAAGACCUGUUUGUGGGAGGCUGUAAGCACCAUCACUGAUCUACAAGUAAAUGAGAGGGCUCUAAUGCCUGCCGAGCAUCCUGGAUCAUUUGACUUUUAAGGCUUGAAAGGACCUGGGACUGCUGAUAGAGGAGGGCAAAAUUGUUUCAUUCUUUGAAUGCAAUCUGAAGCCUCUCCAAAGCAUUAAGUACCACCAUAGGGUUAAAAAAAACCCCAUCUCGGAAGUCAGUCUGCAGAUUUCUGCCAUGGAAGACAGAAAGCACGAGCUUCAGUGCUGCAGAGCCAGGUUUCACAUGCCAAGGCUGUAAGAGCAUUUUACAGCUCCAGUGAGCAAACAGCACUACACCUGAUGACACAGGAGGUGAUGUCUGUCUGGUUACUUACACGCCGAAGUCUGAUUCAGUCCUUCAGGGGAACUCAGGCUGGGAAAUAUGAAACGCUGGGGACUGAAAGGUAGCCAGGAGAAACAGGCAGUCCUUGUGCCAGAGUAGGCAGGGCAGGGCUCACAGCAGGGCUGCACAGAACACUGGAUUACUCUCUGUAAGCACUGACACCCAGGCAAUCCUCACUGCCUUCCGCCUGAAGUACACAGAUGAAUCUUGGGCAUCUGGAUAGUAAAUGACAGAGAUAAGGAAGACACAUAUAUAAAGGAACUAACAAACUUGUUACGCUACAGAGCUCAUCACACUGAGAUGUGUCCAGGACUUCUCUGAUUGAAUCAUAGAAACAGAAUCAUCAUAGAACUAUCUGUGUUGGAAGAUACCCUUAAAGGCCAUCUGGUCCAACUCCCUGCAAUGAAGAGGGACACCUACAGCUCCAUCAGGUGCUCAGAGCCGUGUCCAGCCUGACCUUGGGUGUCUCCAGGGAUGGGGCAUCCACCACCUCUCUGGGCAACGUGUGCCAAUGCUUCAACACAUUUAUUGUAAAAAACUCCUUUCUUUUAUGCAGUCUUAGUCUCCCCUCUUUUAGUCUGCAACCAUUUCUCCUUGUCCUGUCACAGAGACCCUGCUGAAGAGUCUGUCCCCUUCCUUCUUACAGCCCCUUUAGAUACUGAAAGGCCGCUAUCAGGUCUCCCCAGAGACAUCUCCAGGAAAUUUUAUUUUUAUUAAAACAAUUUUCUCUAUAUAUUAUUUGAUCCUGCAGCGUGACAGUGCCCAGUCCAUGGCAGAACUCAGGCUGUAAGGUUUGCUGUGGGGUAAUGAUAUCAAGCUGGCCUACGGGCAGACAACCUUAUGGAGAGCUGCACAUUGCACAGGAGUUGCAAGCUACAGACUGGAACAACAAAGAACUGCAAAGCACACCUGCCCAUGGAUUAUGGAAGUGAUUUCAUGCUACCUGUCCAGAACAAAUAAAGUUGUAGCGUGCAAAGGAAGGGAAGACUGGAAGUGGGAAGCCUACAAAUACAGUUUUACUUCCAAUUCCACCUCCCAUAAGGCAUUUGCCUCUACGAACAAUUUCCUUUGAAGCCAAAGUGGUAAUUCCGUUGAAUCCAACAAGGGUUGACAAGAGCCCCAUCAACUUGAGAACUGGCAUUCUCACCCAUGGUAACGGUGCUCUGUCUCUACUGGAAAGCGGAACAUAAAUGUUUGCUAUCUCCAGGUUCCUUGACCUGACCAGAUGGGACCAUGCAGAGUAAAAGCAAAUUCUUCCCCUUCUUGAGGAAGGGAAGCUGUGUGGAAGUGAAAUAUCUGCUUGCUUUGGACUUUUCACUAAAGGACGAUGUAAAUGGGGGCACCUCAUAAAAUGCAAAUAUAACUUCUGAGUAAGGGGAAGAAGGGUUUGACUGUAUAGUCUUUCUGGAAACAAUUCCGGCAGAGGAUUAGGAGCUAUGGAUGGUAUUUCCAUAAGCCCUUGUUUUUGGCCUGACGAUGACUCCCAGAGAAGCUGAUGGUAAAUCUGCCAUUGUAUCCAAGAGGAACAGACUUGAGACAGCACUGAGCAAACUGAAGAUCCCAGCCUUUGACUCAGAAGUGUAAAUAUUUUGCCUUUAUAAGCAGAGAUUAGUAAAUUCAGGGACGUUAUUCAAAAUGCAAUUUGGUAGCUGCUUCGCUGAGCACUGUCCAUACACACUGAGCAUACUUAUCUCCCACGGCUUUAAGACGGCUCCGUGUUGUUAAGGAACAAGGAAAUAAAUCACAAAAGCGACAGCGAUCGGUGUCGUGGCGGAUAAUCUCUGCACAAAGGGGACAAACGGGUCACAGAGGCAUUAUUCCCUUUGCGCCCCUGGGGAGGGCCCCCCAGGAAGGGUGCGUGGCUGUUGGGGUGGGUGCUAGGAGGUGCAGGCCCUGCUCCUGGCACAGGGGCCCGCUGCUGCCUGAGAGCUGCUAGCUCUGGCCUUGCGUGUUGCCCGUGUGCUGUUUCCAAAGCUGUUGGAAACCAGAGUUGGGGAGGAACAUAAAUCCAUGUUCGUGUCCAAAGUCAGAAAUAUUACUUCGUACGGAUGGAGUUUAAUCCACUCAGUAGAAAAGUCCCUGACUGAAAAGGUAUCCAAUAAAGAUGUUCAGAGCUGCUUAACUGAGUCCGAGAGGGGAUUUUUGCAGUCUUUUAUUCAAUGUAUGUAGUGAGGAAUAAUGAUCAGGAGAUGAGUGCAACCUAUCUUAGCUUGUAGCUG